UUUAGUCUGGAAUGAGAACCUGGGAAUGUUUAGUCUAGAAAAGAGGAAAUACUUGGGAAUGUUUAGUCUAGAAAAGAGAAAGGGACUUGGGAAUGUUUAGUCUGGAAUGAGAACCUGGGAAUGUCUAGUCUAGAAAAGAGGAAGGGAAUGUUUAGUCUGGAAAAGAGAAGGGACUUGGGAAUGGACUUGGGAAUGUUUAGUCUGAAAUGAGAACCUGGGAAUGUCUAGUCUAGAAAAGAGGAAGGGUAUGUUUAGUCUGGAAAAGAGAAAGGACUUUGGAAUGUUUAGUCUGGAAAAGAGAAAGGGCUUGGGAAUGUUUAGUCUGAAAUGAGAACCUGGGAAUGUCUAGUCUAGAAAAGAGGAAGGGUAUGUUUAGUCUGGAAAAGAGAAAGGACUUUGGAAUGUUUAGUCUGGAAAAGAGAAGGGACUUGGGAAUGUUUAGUCUGGAAAAGAGAAAGGGAAUGUUUAGUCUGGAAAAGAGAAGGGACUUGGGAAUGUGUAGUCUGGAAUGAGAACCUGGGAAUAUUUAGUCUAGAAAAUAGAAGGGACUUGGGAAUGUUUAGUCUAGAAAAGAGAAGGGACUUGGGAAUGUUUAGUCUGGAAUGAGAACCUGGGAAUGUCUAGUCUAGAAAAGAGGAAGGGAAUGUUCAGUCUGG